rnacentral:lncRNA from 11 species
CUGGCUCUGGCUCAUGAAUGGGACCCUGAAGAAGGAGACAGAAGGCCUGAUCCUUGCAGCCCAGGAGCAAGACAUCAGAACAAAGGCAAUUCAGGCAUAAGUUCCAAUGAAUCAUUUGGGCCACAUAGUUGUGCCUCUGUUUGUAG